CUGGGGCCAGAGUCAGUUCCCUGCUGGCAGCCAGAGAGGCAGGAGCUCCCUAAGCUAGGAUGCAGGAAGAAGCCUGACUGCAGAUGCUGUGAGGCUGAACUUCUUCAGGGCUGCAAAGAUCUUUGGAAAGGACAAAGCAGCAACAUCGUAAUUAUUGCCCUGGGUCCCAGGCUGAAUCAGACUGGAGUUUGGAUUGGGAUUUGACAGCACUGCCAAUUGAGAGCCUGUCAGACCGAGUGACAGAAGAGCCAAGCUCCUGCCGAUGGCCCUGCUGUGGAAAGGCAGGAGCAAGACUGUACUGAGCUCUCGGGCUGACCCUUUCUGCCAAAACCCUUUCCUCUUGGCCAGGAAUUUCUCUAGCUGGGAAGCCCUUCUCUCUCCUGGAAGCUGCUUCCCCAGGUGGUAGAUGCAGCAGGGUUGGUGACCUGUCAGGACAGGAUAGAGGAAGGGCUGAGAUAGCGUUUGUCUUAAGGGUUUUUGAUGGUGUCAGAGCAUUUGAUGUCCAUGCCAGAGCUUUCUCAAGGAACUCACAUUUCUCUGGAAGCCCGAGACCACAGAGCCAGGUUAUAGUAAACACUCCUCAGGGUGAGCUGGGCAAUGACCCUUUGCAGAAACCCGAGCUUGUUUCGAGAAUAGCUGCAGGGAAAUGAGGUGAAUGGCUGGAACUGCUGUGGCUGGGGCAUGUGCUCUGGGCUGCAGGUGGGAGAGACCACAGUCAGUGACAAAUUUCAUCAGGAAAACUCAUCAAAACAGGAUUCUGCAGCAAGGUUACAGGAGGCCUGAGCUGAUAACAUGCUGUCAGCUGCUCCGGGGGAAGGUUACCGUGGCAUGAGGAAGCAGCUGGACUGGCUGACCUAGCACCUGGAGAAUCUGCUGCCUCUUCUGAUUUGGGGUUUGGGUCCAAGUCCCUCCGAAUCCCACUGAGCUCUACUGAUAUGUUUUCUUAUCUGAGAGCAGCAAAGAAGGAUGUACACAGAGGAAGGCUGGUUCAGUGGUUGGAUGUCAGCUGGAAUUUGGGAGUCUUGGAUUCAAGCCCCUGACCUCCACAGGCUUCCAGCAUGAACCUGGGAAAGUUGCUCUGUGCCUCAAUUCCCCCAUAGUAAGAUGAGGCUAAUAGUACUGACCAAUAUCAUAGGGUAUUGUGAGAAAAAAUCCAGAAAGUAUUGAGGUAGUGGGAUACUGGGAUGGUGGGGCCAAGUAAAUAACCAAGGUGGAUAGAAGCACUGAUUGAUUACGCUUCUCAGCCUUCUAGUGAAGCAAAGUACUAGGCUUGAUGCCCAAAUGAGCAUGCAGCCAACCAGUCACUGGGACAAUUAGAAUGGAGCUGAGGAGCCCUGAGCCCUAGACCUAUGCUCCAGCCAUUACACAUGCUCCUUCCAUGAACUGCUUAGGACCAUGACAGUCUGGCAGAUUCAUACUAGACAUGAGUAGGGAAGGCUUCUUCAGAGACAUGACUCAGGGCUCCUUGCAAACACAAAGACAUCAGCUAGAGCAGUGAUUCUCAACCAGGCUGCUAGACUCUUUGAAGGGUGUGAGGGGAUAGUCAGAUCACAGCAGGCUUGUGUUCUGCCUCUGUCCCCACUGGCAGGAGGUAAGCACUAUUGUAAUAAAUUAGUUUUUGAAAUGGGGUGCCCCUUGAUUCCCAUAAGUUGUGGAGGGUGCCUCGAGGCUCUUGAGGGGUGCCUCGAGUCUAAAAAGGUUGAGGGCCACUGAGCUACAAUAUCUAUUUACUACAGUGGGAAGGCAUUUGGGGUGGAGAGGUGCUGCAAGGAGCCUCUACACAGCAAGGGUAGGAUACAGGGACUAGUUUUGGAAGAGAGAGACUAUCUUAAGAGGCUGUAGAGCAAAACAGUGUCCUUAUCGUUCAUUCCAGGACUGAAAGACAUGGAGCCUGUUGGAUGACUGGUGACUAUGGAGUAAGGGCAGUAAUACACAGGAUGCAUGGUACCAGUGCUGUGCUCCAUGGGAGACUGUUCUAGUGACAGCAGCAUUAACACAUCAGGAAUCAGGGCCCAGAGCGUAAUGAUGUUCAUCUUUUUUUAUCUUGGAGUCCUCAAGCAAUGCAGGACUCUGCUUAUAGCCAUUCAUCCUGCUUGCCAAGCUUUUAAAAGCUUUCCUUUCCCUAUCUCCAGGAGGGCUAGGAACUUGGGGUGCCUAUAUAUGUGCAGCAAGGCUGCUCCAAUGUGCUGUAAUUACAGCUUGUUGGAAAAGACUUGAUUAAAUCGAGUCUGCCAGAGCAUUGUGUAACAGGGGGUCUUCCUGGGGCCAGUCUGCCAUUGGUCCGCCCACCUGUUUCUGGGCCAACUACCCACCUCACUCGCCUGCCAUGCCUUGUUUUUCCUUAAUCGAUUCUAAUUAGGAGGGAGGCUGCCCAUUCUUGCCCCAAUGCCAAGGGGCAGUACCUGUGGCUCUGUUCCUCCCCUACACUGCAGCCCAAGCCUCACAGAUGGCAUCCAGCUGACAAUGCUCAUGGCCUACAGCUGGACCAAGAUUAGCCCUCAUUGUCGGGCCUCAGACACACACACACAUUCAUACUGCCCACCUCUCAUGCUCCACCCCCUCUCACAGGGUCUCUUUCAUACAUCAAUAACUUUGGUCCCUCUCAGAGUGGGUCCCUUCAGCCAUAGGCUUUAUCUGAUGCACACCUUGGGUGGCAGAUGUACCAUCUUUUGGGCCUCUCCCACAACAAUCAUCAGGGUAGUGGCCAGCCAAUUACCUGACCAGGGCCAAGCCUGCCCUGGCUCCUCCCAGGGCAACUCUACACAAACUCACACACACAUACUAGGCUCCCAGCCCUCUGGUUUCCCCAUCACUGGGGCUCCACAUCCACCCUCUUACUGGGGGCCUACACUUACAAGGGCUCCACAUCUUCCACCCCUUCACUGGGGCUACAAGGCUUCCCUCCCAAGUGGGGGCUCAGGUGGCCAUAGCUUUGCCUGGCCCCAACUGCUACCCACAGUGAUGUGGGGUUAAGGGUUAUUGAGGCACUCCAACCCAUCUUCCACUGGGGUAGUAACUGGUCUGGUAUUUUCCUGGAGGCUCCCACACCACUGAAAGCCCCACCAGGUCACCUACUCCUGGCAGAGUGCACUUUUAGGUUAUGCCUAGGACCAAGAGCCUUCUGCUCCUACCUGCAGAUGUUCUCAUACAGCAGCUCAUUCAGGUAAUGUUUCCUACCUGGCUGCCAGCAGCAAUCUGCUCUGUUUAUAUAGGCAGCCAUGGUUCUAAAAUGGCCAGUGCAAUCAAACACCUGCUGGCUGCUUGACUUGGCCCUUAAAGUGGCAGGCACCAACAGCGCCCUGCCACACAUUGUAAUUACCAUGCUCCAGUAGAUUCCAGCAUCUUGUGUAUCAGUGUCCCCACACUGAAAAAUGGUGGUGGGGGUGCUUUAAUUAAAGCUCAUUCAACAAGCUUUACUUAAAUCUUCACCACCACUUUUUUUCAGUGUGGGGAUGCUCAUACACAAGAUACUCCAGGAGAUUAAAAUUAGAGUGGCUCUCGGAGCUGCUUUGAUUAAAGCACCCCCUCCUGCACUCCCAGAGCAUAUGUAUAAAUGCCCUUGGUUUCUUUUCAACUUCAUCAUCAUCACCUGAGUUCAACAGCUGGGGCUUUGCUGAAACUCACCAAUUAGUUGGAGACUUGAGAUGACACGCAAGAGCUAACAAUGCUGUGUGGGACAGCUCUUCAGAGCUGACUCAUUCUUCUUUGCAGCUAAGUCUCAUGAUGAGGAUCAAGAGCUUGGCUCUUGUCUGUGUCUCACAUUCUGGGCUAGAUCUGUGCCUCCUGGAGAGCCCUAGCUGGGAGGCUGGGAGGAAACACCCUCCAAGUCAGUCUGUGCAGGGUGAGCUUGUUUUGUCUCUCCUCUACAGAAGGGGCUACUAUCCUAGCCCUGAGCCUCGCUCUUGCAGAAGGCCUUCUUUGCUUAAGGCGUGUAUCUCUGCACUGGCAGGCAAACUCUUGGUGACCCCAUAGGCAGGUCCAUCCUUGCUUCAGCCUCUUUAGAUGUCUAGUAAGAAGGCUUCCCCAAUAAGAUGUGGCUCUGAGUACAAUUUGGAGCUACAAAGUGCUGGGAAAAGGGAAAAAAAGUGACAGCUGCCAGCACUAAAGACCACUCUUUCAGAACCCAGAUCUGCCCUCAACCUACCCAGUUCCAUGGGGACGCCAACUCAGCAGACAGCUUCAAGGUGGGUCCUCUGGGUGGGGAUAUAGUGAAGCAGAUGGUAGGGUCCCAUUCUGUAGAGCCCAGACAUUUGUGCACGUGCAGCAGUGGGGUACAGUCUGGGCUCCUGCAAUCCAUACAUGACUGUUGGCACAGUGCUGGCUGCCUUCUCCCAGGAUUUUAUGUUCAUUCUAGUGAUAAUUUUUCCCUAAAUGCCCAGCUUCUGGCGUCCUGUGAUGGAGUGGGAAUCUCAGCUUUCAAACAUGUGACCCAGAAAGAAAAGGAGAAAUUCCACAGUCAUUGUCAUGCUGGCUGAAGCGGGAAAGUGGCUGACUUGUGGUUUUUAAGCACUUGAGGGUUUGCAGGGUUGACUGUGCCUCCAGCUCCUGUUUUAUACCAGACCGUCCUGUUUUUAAAUCCUUUGUCCCCUGUCCUUUUCUGAAUGAGGAACAGACUGCAAAAAGUCCUGUUUUUCAGUUCACUGGUGGAAAUGCAUGUCAAUCAUUUGUCCUCACAAUUCUAUUGGCUGUGCCUAGAGGUAGGAGGCACAGCCAAGAGGAGAGGGGUCCCAAGCCAGCCAGGAAGAAAGGGAGGGAGGUAGAGGAUCCCAGGGGCUGGUUGCUUUGCACCUAUGCGAGAAGCCGCAGCUGCAGUGCGUGUGCAGGCACAGCGAGACCUGGGGCACUAUUGCACGUCUGAGCUCCCUGGCAUGUGUGGGUGGAGCUGGGCCCUGGGGGAGCUGAGCUGCCAGGGCGGGGCAGUUGGUCUGAACCCACACCCCACUUCACUGCCUCGGCACAAGGUAAUGGCCGGAGCACUGUAUUUGUGCCUGCUGGAACUCCAGUGGGACUGGGGCAGGCUCUUGUCACCAUCUUUGCACCCACAGAGCAACCCAGUGAGUCCCUAGGGUGUCCUGCUACGUACAGCACUGGAACCUGUCUCUCUCCUAGGGAAGGAAGAGAAGGUCCUGCCAGGCAGCUGGCUGCGCUGCCACAGGCAUCCAAUGCCCACUGAUCCCACUCAGCCCAGCUCUGACCAGUACGUGGUCAGGGCAGAUUCCUGGGUGCCCAGUGUCUGUACUGAAUACUGAUUGGGGGGAGGUGAGGUCCCUGUGCAAUGUGUGGCUCCCAAGUGUGGAGCUGGGCUGGAGCGAGACUGGAUCCCAGUGUGGGGAGGGGGUGCUCGAGCCUCACACCUGCUAUGCCCUGGUGUCUCAAGGCUGGACUGUCUGGAGAAGCCAGCAGAGCUGUGGGAUAUGUGAAACCAUGAGGUAGGGGGAGCCAGGAGGGGGAGAAGCAAAUUUAAAUUAGUUAUAAUAGUCUUAGUCAAUACUAAGUUUAUAGUAUGCAUGUUUAAUUAUCUAUUUGUAACGCUAUGGUUUUACUUUCUUAUUGUAUUUUACCUCUUAGUUUAUAUUUUAUUGUUUUUGUUGGUUUUAUUUUAUCGGUAAAGGAUUCAAAUGAAUAAAUAUGAUAAUAAAAAUGUUAUAAUAA